GAUUUGAGAUUAUUAGUGUUUGUUUCCUCCAUCAUCAAUCAAUCACGUUUAGGGUUUCUGCGUUAUCAAUGAAUCGUUCUCUGCCUCUCAUUCGUUCCUCUAUGAAUCCGACUCUGAUCUUCGUCAUAAAGGUUAGAUUUUGUCAAUGAAUCAAGUAUCGUUCUUGAUAUUUUAGAUUUUAUAACUAAUAAUUUCUUUUGUUUUGUAUAUCUCAUCUGAAAUCCGACUUCACAUCAAUCUUCAAUCUUCAAUCUUCGACUCCCUCAUUCGCAUUCUCUCUGGAGAAACCCUAGCCGCCUCCUUCAGCUAGACCAUCGGUUCUCAUCUUCCUCUUCAAGGUUUCUGUCUUCCAUUCAUACAUCUUUCUCUCUUCUCCGGCUCUAAAGUUCACCCAUUAGGGUUGGCUUGAAGAUGGUGUUGAACAGGGCGAACUUUCCGAUUUUUCGAUGGUUUGACGUCUCAGCUGGACUCUAUUUUACUUCAACCAUAGCUGAAUUAAUUGCCGUGGAGAAAGACAACGCAUUCAUUGAGGGUUACAUGUCUUCAUCUAAAAUGAUAUACAGAUGGCGGUGGAGAAAGUCGAUAAUUUUUCUAGGGUUUACUUUGAUUCAUGGAGCACGACUGGAAGAGUUGUCUCACAAAAGCUGUAGAAAAAUCUCAGCCAUGAGAGUAUCAUCACAUGACAAAGUUCGAGCUUUGACAUGGCAUUGGAGGAGGGAACCAGUAAGUGAAAAUGAAUGUCGCGGACGAGAACAGUGCAAGGAGAUGCUACAGGAAUCACUGUAACUGAGAAUAGGGAAUAGUGGAAGUCUUCUUCAUCUGGGGAUUUAGUUUUCACAGUUGUUGAUUGGUUUGCUGUUAGAUAUGGUCGAGUGUGCUGAUUAGUUGAAGCGAUUACAUUAGUAUUCAAAGAAUGUAUAAAAUAUCAACAAAAAGAAUAGGUUAGUGGGGAGAUCAUGUCAUUUUACAAGUGGCUGCUGAUAGGGUUUCUUUUCCUCUUAUGUUAACUUCAGCCAAUGAUGUCAAUUGAUAGUGUUAUCAAGAGAACGGCCAACUGCUAAGUGGGAUGUUGGAUUCGCUUUCACCUGAGCAAGUAAUUCAGUGUCAACCAGAGGAUGGCCACAUUGCCCUUUGUCGUCUUCAGUCGCCAACGAAAACCGCCCUGCUCGAUUGGGCCAUCAAUCUGAACGCUGAUGCUAUCUAACACGAGCAUCUCAAGAAGAUGAAUUCACACAAUAUUGCAAUGGUUUUCGCCCCAAAUGACUCAGGCCUCACCACGAGAAUCACAGUCCGAUGAAAAUAGUGGUCAAGGCCUGGACUCUAUCCACACGUGCAACAAAAUCUUGAUGAAAAUGAAGAGAGAGAACAAGAAUUCAUCCCUGAAGAUAAUCAUCUUUAAAAAUUAACUGCCACAGAAGGAUCUAAUGGACCCGGGUUGUGUAAUUGGCCUGUUCAAUCCCCACUCUUCCUGCCCAUUGUAUGUCGCGUACUUCGUUAGCGACUCAAGCACACCUUUGUCGCCGUUGAAGACAAAUCGAGAGU